GACGAACGCUGGCGGCGUGCUUAACACAUGCAAGUCGAACGGAAAGGCCCUGCUUUUGUGGGGUGCUCGAGUGGCGAACGGGUGAGUAACACGUGAGUAACCUGCCCUUGACUUUGGGAUAACUUCAGGAAACUGGGGCUAAUACCGGAUAGGAGCUCCUGCUGCAUGGUGGGGGUUGGAAAGUUUCGGCGGUUGGGGAUGGACUCGCGGCUUAUCAGCUUGUUGGUGGGGUAGUGGCUUACCAAGGCUUUGACGGGUAGCCGGCCUGAGAGGGUGACCGGCCACAGUGGGACGGAGAUACGGCCCAGACGCCUAAGGGAGGCAGCAGUGGGGAAUAUGGCACAAUGGGCGGAAGCCGGAGGCAGCAACGCCGCGUGCGGGAGGACGGCCUUCGGGUGGGAAACCGCGUUAGCAUGUGACGAAGCGUGAGUGACGGUAAUGGGUAAAGAAGCACCGGCUAACUACGU
rnacentral:rRNA from 1 species